rnacentral:rRNA from 1 species
UACGGGGGGGGGCAAGCGUUGUUCGGAAUUACUGGGCGUAAAGGGCUCGUAGGCGGCCAACUAAGUCGGACGUGAAAUCCCUCGGCUUAACCGGGGAACUGCGUCCGAUACUGGAUGGCUUGAGUUCGGGAGAGGGAUGCGGAAUUCCAGGUGUAGCGGUGAAAUGCGUAGAUAUCUGGAGGAAUACCGGUGGCGAAGGCGGCAUCCUGGACCGGGAUUGACACUGAGGAGCGAAAGCUAGGGGAGCAAACGGG